UACGGGGGGAGCAAGCGUUGUUCGGAUUUACUGGGCGUAAAGGGCGCGUAGGCGGCGCAACAAGUCACUUGUGAAAUCUCCGGGCUUAACCCGGAGCGGCCAAGUGAUACUGUCGUGCUAGAGUGCGGAAGGGGCUACUGGAAUUCUCGGUGUAGCGGUGAAAUGCGUAGAUAUCGAGAGGAACACCUGCGGCGAAGGCGGGUAGCUGGGCCGACACUGACGCUGAGGCGCGAAAGCCAGGGGAUCGAACGGG
rnacentral:rRNA from 1 species